GUGGUUCUCCGUUACUGGGAACUUCAUAUCGGAUCCGAUCAAUUUAUUGGUUCCAUUCCCCCUAGUAUAAAUGAUCCAUUUGCAGUGACGAUGACAAUCAUAGUUUAGGGCAAGAAAUAUAGAAGAUAAAGAAAAAUAUAAACAAUUACGACUGUACAGUAGAAAUGAUCGGCAAAACAAGAUAAACAGAAGACAACAAGGCCUAAAUGGUGAGACUUCUUGGUUUUCAUGAUCAUCAACAGGUCAAUACAGAAGAGGAAACUUAAGGUUAAUACUUAUCUACAUUGUGUGCUAAUUGGAUUAAUGUGAAAUGAAAUGUGGGCUUACCUGGAAAAAGAAAAUAGGAAAUUUCUACAAAAUGGCUGUAAACAAAAUGGAGUACAAUCAUAGAUGCACAAGAACACAAUUGUGUAAUUGCAACAACCUAAAUAUUCACUGAAGGAUUAUGGAGAAAUGUAGAAAAAAUAGUAUUUUGUUGUCGAAAUAAACACCUGCUUUAUCCAUUCAUGUACAUAGCUCUGUCAUAUCAAAUAUACAGAGGAAGAUGUUUGAAGAACAAAUUGCAAAAAUGUAUUCUCUACCAAUUGAAGGAAGAUGUCUGGUGGAUGGAAUUAUUUAUGCACUGAACUGUUAUGUAGGGGAUUGAAUAAUUGUACGCAGCAGCUUAAACAGAAGAAAAGUUAAAUUAACAUGAAAAGUGUUUAUUUUAUUUAAUCUGCAAAUAUGAGCACAAUAUUAAUAACAUCACAAAUAGUAUGAUAUUCAUAGCGUUUUGCUUAUUAUUGUAUUGUCUCAAACAGCUAGCCUAUUGUUUUUGUAUGUCAUGUUACUCAUCAGUGAACAUUUUAUUAAAGUUUUAAUUAUC